rnacentral:rRNA from 1 species
GAUGAACGCUGGCGGCGUGCCUAAUACAUGCAAGUAGAACGCUGAAGGAGGAGCUUGCUCUUCUGGAUGAGUUGCGAACGGGUGAGUAACGCGUAGGUAACCUGCCUGGUAGCGGGGGAUAACUAUUGGAAACGAUAGCUAAUACCGCAUGACAACAGUUAUUGCAUGAUAAUUGUUUAAAAGGGGCAACUGCUCCACUACCAGAUGGACCUGCGUUGUAUUAGCUAGUUGGUGAGGUAACGGCUCAACCAGGCGACGACACAUAGCCGACCUGGGAGGGGUGGUCGCCCACCUGGGACCGGGGCCCCGCCCCAGCCCCUUCGGGGGGCCGCCGGAGGGGAUCUUCGGCAAUGGACCGAAGUCUGACCGGGCAACGCCGCGGGAGGGAAGGAGGUUCUCCGGUCCUUAAGCUCUGUUGUAAGGGAAGAACGAGUGUUGGAGUGAAAAGUUCACACUGUGACGGUAUCUUACCAGAAAGCGACGGCUAACUACGUG